rnacentral:misc_RNA from 1 species
GAUGAAGAACGUAGCGAAAUGCGAUAAGUAAUGUGAAUUGCAGAAUUCAGUGAAUCAUCGAAUCUUUGAACGCACAUUGCGCCCGCCAGUAUUCUGGCGGGCAUGCCUGUUCGAGCGUCAUUUCAACCAUCAAGCCCCAGGCUUGUGUUGGGGACCUGCGGCUGCCGCAGGCCCUGAAAACCAGUGGCGGGCUCGCUGUCACACCGGGCGUAGAGAUUUUAUCUCGCUCAGGGCGUGCUGCGGGUUCCGGCCGUUAAAAAGCCUUUUUUACCCAAGGUUGACCUCGGAUCAGGUAGGAAGACCCGCUGAACUUAAGCAUAUCAAUAAGCGGAGGA